UACGUAGGGUGCGAGCGUUAAUCGGAAUUACUGGGCGUAAAGCGUGCGCAGGCGGUUCGUUAAGUCAGAUGUGAAAGCCCCGGGCUCAACCUGGGAACUGCAUUUAAAUUGGCGGGCUUGAGUAUGGCAGAGGGGGGUGGAAUUCCGCGUGUAGCAGUGAAAUGCGUAGAUAUCGGGAGGAACACCAGUGGCGAAGGCGACUUCCUGGCCUGUUCUUGACGCUGAGGCGCGAAAGCUAGGGGAGCAAACGGG
rnacentral:rRNA from 1 species